rnacentral:rRNA from 1 species
GAUGAACGCUGGCGGCGUGCCUAAUACAUGCAAGUCGAGCGAACGGACGAGAAGCUUGCUUCUCUGAUGUUAGCGGCGGACGGGUGAGUAACACGUGGAUAACCUACCUAUAAGACUGGGAUAACUUCGGGAAACCGGAGCUAAUACCGGAUAAUAUUUUGAACCGCAUGGUUCAAAAGUGAAAGACGGUCUUGCUGUCACUUAUAGAUGGAUCCGCGCUGCAUUAGCUAGUUGGUAAGGUAACGGCUUACCAAGGCAACGAUGCAUAGCCGACCUGAGAGCGUGAUCGGCCACACUGGAACUGAGACACGGUCCAGACUCCUACGGGAGGCAGCAGUAGGGAAUCUUCCGCGAAGGGCGAAAGCCUGACGGAGCAACGCCGCGUGAGUGAUGAAGGUCUUCGGAUCGUAAAACUCUGUUAUUAGGGAAGAACAUAUGUGUAAGUAACUGUGCACAUCUUGACGGUACCUAAUCAGAAAGCCACGGCUAACUACGUG